CGGACGGGUGAGUAAUGUCUGGGAAACUGCCUGAUGGGAGGGGGAUAACUACUGGAAACGGUAGCUAAUACCGCAUAACGUCGCAAGACCAAAGAGGGGGACCUUAGGGCCUCUUGCCAUCGGAUGUGCCCAGAUGGGAUUAGCUUGUUGGUGGGGUAACGGCUCACCAAGGCGACGAUCCCUAGCUGGUCUGAGAGGAUGACCAGCCACACUGGAACUGAGACACGGUCCAG
rnacentral:rRNA from 1 species